UACGGGGGGUGCAAGCGUUAAUCGGAAUCACUGGGCGUAAAGGGUGCGUAGGCGGUACGUUAGGUCUGUCGUGAAAUCCCCGGGCUCAACCUGGGAAUGGCGGUAGAAACCGGCGAACUAGAGUAUGGGAGAGGGUGGUGGAAUUCCAGGUGUAGCGGUGAAAUGCGUAGAGAUCUGGAGGAACAUCAGUGGCGAAGGCGGCCACCUGGCCCAAUACUGACGCUGAGGCACGAAAGCGUGGGGAGCAAACAGGAUUAGAUACCCUGGUAGUCCACGCCCUAAACGAUGUCAACUGGUUGUUGGGCAACUUGAUUGUUCAGUAACGAAGCUAACGCGAGAAGUUGACCGCCUGGGGAGUACGGUCGCAAGAUUAAAACUCAAAGGAAUUGACGGGGACCCGCACAAGCGGUGGAUGAUGUGGAUUAAUUCGAUGCAACGCGAAAAACCUUACCUACCCUUGACAUGUACGGAAGUCUGCUGAGAGGUGGAUGUGCCUGAAAGGGAACCGUAACACAGGUGCUGCAUGGCUGUCGUCAGCUCGUGUCGUGAGAUGUUGGGUUAAGUCCCGCAACGAGCGCAACCCUUGCUAUUAAUUGCCAUCAUUAAGUUGGGCACUUUAAUAGGACUGCUGGUGAUAAACCGGAGGAAGGUGGGGAUGACGUCAAGUCCUCAUGGCCCUUAUGGGUAGGGCUUCACACGUCAUACAAUGGCCGGUACAGAGGGAUGCCAACCCGCGAGGGGGAGCCAAUCUCAGAAAGCCGGUCGUAGUCCGGAUUGUUCUCUGCAACUCGAGAGCAUGAAGUCGGAAUCGCUAGUAAUCGCGGAUCAGCAUGUCGCGGUGAAUACGUUCCCGGGUCU
rnacentral:rRNA from 1 species